CGUACGAUACGAGUUUGAUAUGGCUCAGAAUCAACGCUGGCGGCGUGCCUAACACAUACAAGUCGAACGCGAAAAGGGCUUCGGUCCUGAGUAGAGUGGCGUCCGGGUGAGUAACGCGUGGGUUAUCUACCGUUGGGUGGGGAAUAACUAGUCGAAAGAUUAGCUAAUACCGCAUAAUGCAGUUUCUUAGUGGAAUCUGUUAAAGCAGUAAUGUGCCUAAUGAUGAGCCUGCGUCUGAUUAGCUUGUUGGUAAGGUAAUGGCUUACCAAGGCUUCUAUCAGUAGCUGGUCUGAGAGGACGGCCAGCCACAAUGGCACUGAAACACGGGCCAUACUCCUACGGGAGGCAGCAGUGGGGAAUUUUGCGCAAUGAGCGAAAGCUUGACGCAGCAACGCCGCGUGAAGGAUGAAAUCCUUCGGGAUGUAAACUUCGUAAGUAUGGGAAGAAAAAAUGACGGUACCAUAUGUAAGCCCCGGCUAACUCCGUG
rnacentral:rRNA from 1 species